rnacentral:rRNA from 1 species
GUUUCAGCCGCCGCGGUAAUACGUAGGGAGCAAGCGUUGUCCGGAAUCAUUGGGCGUAAAGCGCGCGUAGGUGGCCCCGUAAGUCCGCUGUGAAAGUCAAAGGCUCAACCUUUGAAAGCCGGUGGAUACUGUGGGACUAGAGUACGGAAGAGGCGAGUGGAAUUCCUGGUGUAGCGGUGGAAUGCGCAGAUAUCAGGAGGAACACCAAUAGCGAAGGCAGCUCGCUGGGACGUUACUGACACUGAGGCGCGAAAGCGUGGGGAGCGAACAGGAUUAGAUACCCUGGUAGUCC